UACGUAGGGUGCGAGCGUUGUCCGGAAUUAUUGGGCGUAAAGGGCUCGUAGGCGGUCUGUCACGUCGGGAGUGAAAACACGGGGCUUAACCCCGUGCCUGCUUCCGAUACGGGCAGACUAGAGGUAUGCAGGGGAGAACGGAAUUCCUGGUGUAGCGGUGAAAUGCGCAGAUAUCAGGAGGAACACCGGUGGCGAAGGCGGGUCUCUGGGCCGAUACUGACGCUGAGGAGCGAAAGCGUGGGGAGCGAACAGG
rnacentral:rRNA from 1 species